CCAAACUUGGUCAUUUAGAGGAAGUAAAAGUCGUAACAAGGUCUCCGUUGGUGAACCAGCGGAGGGAUCAUUACUGAGUUGCAAAACUCCAAACCCAUGUGAAUUUACCGUGUUGCCUCGGCGGUAACUGCACUCUAGAUUGGUACCUACCCUAGAGCUACCCGGGAGAGACCUACCCGGUACCUACCCUGUAGCGCUUGCAUGCCGCCGAAGGAAUACCCCUAAACACUUGCUUUUGUAUAGUAUAAUCUGAGUUUAUAUAUCUAAAUAAGUUAAAACUUUCAACAACGGAUCUCUUGGUUCUGGCAUCGAUGAAGAACGCAGC
rnacentral:misc_RNA from 1 species